AUUGAACGCUGGCGGCAUGCCUUACACAUGCAAGUCGAACGGUAACAGGUCUUUCGGGAUGCUGACGAGUGGCGCACGGGUGAGUAAUACAUCGGAACGUGCCUAGUAGUGGGGGAUAACUACUCGAAAGAGUGGCUAAUACCGCAUGAGAUCUAUGGCUGAAAGCAGGGGACCUUUGGGCCUUGUGCUACUAGAGCGGCCGAUGGCCGGUUAGGUAGUUGGUGGGAUAAAAGCUUACCAAGCCGACGAUCUGUAGCUGGUCUGAGAGGACGAUCAGCCACACUGGGAGUGAGACACGGCCCAGAGUCCUACGGGAGGCAGCAGUGGGGAAUUGUGGACAAUGGGCGCAAGCCUGAUCCAGCGAUGCCGCGUGCAGGAUGAAGGCCUUCGGGGUGUAAACUGCUUUUGUACGGAACGAAAAGUCUUGGGUUAAGACCCUGGGUGCAUGACGGUACCGGAAGAAUAAGCACCGGCUAACUACGUG
rnacentral:rRNA from 1 species